rnacentral:rRNA from 1 species
ACACAUGCAAGUCGAGCGAUGAAACUUCCUUCGGGAAGUGGAUUAGCGGCGGACGGGUGAGUAACACGUGGGUAACCUGCCUCAAAGUGGGGGAUAGCCUUCCGAAAGGAAGAUUAAUACCGCAUAACAUAAGAGAAUCGCAUGAUUUUUUUAUCAAAGAUUUAUUGCUUUGAGAUGGACCCGCGGCGCAUUAGCUAGUUGGUAAGGUAACGGCUUACCAAGGCAACGAUGCGUAGCCGACCUGAGAGGGUGAUCGGCCACAUUGGAACUGAGACAC